rnacentral:rRNA from 1 species
GGAGCUGUAAGUAAGCUUUGAUCCAGAGAUUUCCGAAUGGGGAAACCCAGCAUGAGUUAUGUCAUGUUAUCGAUAUGUGAAUACAUAGCAUAUCAGAAGGCACACCCGGAGAACUGAAACAUCUUAGUACCCGGAGGAAGAGAAAGAAAAUUCGAUUCCCUUAGUAGCGGCGAGCGAAACGGGAAGAGCCCAAACCAACAAGCUUGCUUGUUGGGGUUGUAGGACACUCUAUACGGAGUUACAAAGGACGACAUUAGACGAAUCAUCUGGAAAGAUGAAUCAAAGAAGGUAAUAAUCCUGUAGUCGAAAAUGUUGUCUCUCUUGAGUGGAUCCUGAGUACGACGGAGCACGUGAAAUUCCGUCGGAAUCUGGGAGGACCAUCUCCUAAGGCUAAAUACUCUCUAGUGACCGAUAGUGAACCAGUACCGUGAGGGAAAGGUGAAAAGCACCCCGGAAGGGGAGUGAAAUAGAACCUGAAACCGUGUGCUUACAAGUAGUCAGAGCCCGUUAAUGGGUGAUGGCGUGCCUUUUGUAGAAUGAACCGGCGAGUUACGAUUUGAUGCAAGGUUAAGCAGUAAAUGUGGAGCCGUAGCGAAAGCGAGUCUGAAUAGGGCGUUUAGUAUUUGGUCGUAGACCCGAAACCAGGUGAUCUACCCUUGGUCAGGUUGAAGUUCAGGUAACACUGAAUGGAGGACCGAACCGACUUACGUUGAAAAGUGAGCGGAUGAACUGAGGGUAGCGGAGAAAUUCCAAUCGAACCUGGAGAU